UGCUCCGGCGCCCCGAGGAGGUUAUCGGGAGAGGACAAUCGCACGUCGUUUGCAUCGCCGUCGAUUACUUGUCGGAUCAGUGUGUCCUCGCCGGAAGCAAGGAUAGCGGAGGCGAGAAGGGAGGAGAGGAUCAGGACGAGGGAGAAUCGUGAGGAAGCCAUGACUGUGUUUGCUUUUCUUUCCUUUCUGUUAUUGCUUUCGGAUGAAGCUGAAACGAACUUGUGCAGGUGCGUCUUAUUUAUAGAAAGGGAUGGGGUGAGGUCGCACGCAGAGGAUUACUGCGUUU
rnacentral:lncRNA from 1 species